rnacentral:tRNA from 1 species
GCCGACGUAGCCCAACGGGAGAGGCAGCGGAUUCAAAACCCGCGCAGUGCGGGUUCGAUUCCCGCGGUCGGCACCA